UUUUAUAAAAAAAAAAGUACAAAGAAACGAAGAAAAAAAUACAAUAUUUAAAUAAAAAACGCACAAUUUCUUCAAGACAACUAAGGAAAUAAAAAAAGUUGUUAAUAAUAAUUGUUGAAUCAUAUAGUCUAAGUUAAAAAGAAAAAAAUUUCAAAAUGUACGCAGCAGCUGGUGGUGCAAGUUUAGCAAGUCGUCAAGCACGACAACGUCAAAGACAAAAUAAAAAAGCCCAAUUACAAAAAGCGAGUCAAAAGGCAACUGAAUUAAUACCAAAACCACCUCAAGCAAAACAAUUUCAUAAUUACACCGACCAAAACGUUCCGAAACUAUCUCGAGUUGAACGAAACGCGUUAAAACCACCACAAGCGGCGCCUCACGAACGAAGACACAGCACGUCGAAUUAUCAUUUAAAAGAACCAUCGAGAGCUCGAAUCCGGGAAAGUCCUUCAAUAUGUAUCCCAGUUGUUCCAAAUCAUCAUCAUCACCAUCAAAACCAAAAGGAUUCAGUACAACCUUUAAGUCCGUGUACGUUAGUUCAACAAAAUCACGUUCCGGUGCCACAUUCACCUUCGGUUCAAAGUCAAUUACCACAGAUUACGAUACCGGAAGGAGGAGACAAAUCGUCGUUGGAGAGAAGAUGCAGUUUCGUGCGGCAAGUGGAGGAAAUGGAGAAGGUUACCACGGAGGGUGGUGGUGGAGGGAACGUUUUGGAUAGAUGCAAUCAUAUUUGUAACUUUGAAAUUAAGGAGAAAGCUUGGGAGAAUAACGUUGGAACUACUUAUUAUACGGAGUAUGAUAAAUCGACGUUUGGUAGUUGGGAUUAUCCGUUUAGUGAGUGUUCACAGGGAAGGGCAGCUUGGCAGGAAAGGGAACGAAGGCGCUGUUCGCUCUCGGGAAACGCCAAACAACACCGCCUGAAACAAUCAGAAGCCCAUCACCGAUGGAUGAAAAGAAACAGAAUUCACGACACUGGUUUUGGUGGUAGUAGCGACGAAGAAGACAUUUUCAACGUCUACCAACAAAGUGCUGCGGCAAACGCGCUUCUUUACGUCGGUUUGGGAACGAUGGCGAUAGGGAGCGUGAUUUUCUUCGUGGGAACCGGCGACAAAGGUUUUAAAACGGUCGAAUUAAGAUUGAUCGGACCGACCCUGAUGGCAUGCGGUUUACUUUGUUGCGUCAUUCGCGUGUUGUUAUGCACGUGUCCCUCGACGUGUUUGCGACGGCGGAAAAAGACGAGAAAAAAAGAUGCGUGCGCGACGCACGGUAUGUUGAAUAAUAGGAAUCCGAAGAAACGCGAUCGACGGAAAGACUUCGUUCCGGUUGAACAAGCGUCGUUGAUGAGGCAAAAAUCGAAUCAUAAAAAGGUUUCGAUUGCGGCAGGUACUAGUCAUGCUGUACCAAGUACUAGUACUAUGAAUGAACCGAUAAUUUACGUUGAAGACGAAAUCAUCACCCACGCUACACAAAAGCCUCCCGAAAUCCCACUCAUUUCCAUACCGGAUCUCGCCGAAUUCAAUUGCGUCACCCAUCGACAACCGUCGCCCGACAAUUCCUUCAUCGAACUCCAAAAUUUCGAAGCUACAUUCGAAAUCGAAUCCGUAUCGAGCGGCAGCGAAACCGACGAUAACAAUAUUAUUAAUAAUCGUCACUCGGAGAAAAAGACCAAAAACGUCAUUCAAGUGCAAGAAGAACAAUUUUCGAUCGUCCAUCAACCAACUCAAACGAAUAAUAAAAAUAGAUUUAAUAACAGUGAUGAAUGCGAUGAAGCUUCUUGUCUUGUUGUUGAUUUAGUGACAACAACGAUGAAUUCAGGUGCUAUCGUGAACGAAAGUGCUGUUGAUGGUGAAAGAAGAAAUGAUGAGAUUGUUAAUAAUAAAGGAGUGAGACAGAAUAAUAAUCAGUUAAAUAAAGGUGUGAGUGAGAUUUUGUUGAGCCCUUUACAAUUAGAUGGUGGAAAAAAAUAGGAAAAAUAAGAAGUAUUUAUAAAAAUACGGUGUAUUUUAGGUGCUAUUUUAAAUUGAUUAUUUUAAAUCUCAUUGAUAACAAAAAAAAGUCAAAAAAUGUGUUUCAAAAAAAAACGUUGUCAUUAAGAUUUAAAAUAAAUCAUAAAUCAUAACCCAACUUACAAUAAACAAUAAGGAAUUGGCACGAAAAAUCCUAACGAAUCCUAAUUCAUAAAUUAAUUAAUUAAAAAAAGGACCCACGACUCCGAUCUUUAUUGAUAAAAAGAUAGCAACUAUUUAAUUAAUAAUAAUAACCGCUUCUGAUGUAACUAUAUGUAAUACAGGGUAACAAAAAAUACUAAAAAAAAGAAUAUAUACAAGAAACCAAAAAAUGGAAUAAUCAGUGUUUAAAGAAAUCUGUAAAGAAAUUAACGAGAAAAAUGUAUAUGUAAUGUUUAACGAAAAAAUAAAAAUGGAAACAUUUAAGUACUCGUUAAUCAUAGUUUUUAAUAAAAUUGAGGCGAAUAAAACUGUGUGUUGCGCGAAAACCAAUAAAAUAAUAGCUGAAACGUUUAAAAAUAAGCUGAUUUUACUGUAAACGAAAAAAUACCUAUAACUUUACUAAGGCUGAGUCGGAGUUUAAAAAACUAAUAAAAAGUGGGUCCUAAAUUUAUUACUAGAAUAAAGAAAUACAAAAAAAAUAUGAAUAAGAUGAGUAUUUAAUAAAAUUGUUGUAAAAUUAAUUUAUUGACAGCGGGAUUUAGGAAUGUAUCCAAUUUAUGAUUAAUUAGAAAUCUAACUUAUCAACUUGUCAAAAAUUUUAGGUUAAAACGAAGUUUUGUGUUACCCGUUUAUUUACAUUCAUACAAAAUGAAAGGUUAAGAAACAAAACGAAGAAGAUAUAAGAUGAUUGUCAACGGAGAACUAUUAAAAAGUUGGUACGAAUAUUAAACGUGAAUAUGUCAACGUCAGAUCGAGUGAAGUUUCUUCGAAGGAUUUUUUAAGACAAAACGAUUU
rnacentral:misc_RNA from 1 species